AUUUUAGUAUUAUUAUAAUUUUAUUAAUUUUAUAUAUAUAUUAUAAUUUUAUAAUUAUUUAUUUAUUUAAAAUAAAUUAAUUUUUAUAAUAUAAAUUAUUAUUAAAUUAAAUUAAAAUUUAAAUUAAAAAUUAAUAUUAUAAAUAAUAAAUUAUGUGCCAGAAAUUUCGGUUAUACAUUUAUUUAAAUUUAUAUUAUUUUAAUUAAAAAAUUUAUUUUUUAAAUGAUAAUAUAUAUUUUAAGUGAAAUUUAAAUAUUUAAAUUAAAUAUAUUAAUUAAAUUUAUUUAUUAAUAUAUAAAUUAAAUUAGGAUUAGAUACCCUAUUAUAAUGUUUUAUUUUAAGAAAAAUUAAAAUUAUUAAAUAAUAAUUUAUUAAAAUUAAAUAAAUUGAUAGUAUUUUAUUUUUAGGGAAAUUUAUUAUUUAAAUUGAUAAAGCACGAUAUUUUUAUUUAAUUUAUUUAUUAAUAUAUUAUUAUAAUUUAAUAAUUUUUUAUUAUUGAAAAAUUUAAAUUUAUAAAAAAAUUAAUUUUAGAUCAAAAUAUUAUUUAUAAUUAAAUAUAAUGAAUUUAUUAAAAUUAAAUUAAAAUUUUUUUAAAACUUAAAAGUAAUUUAAUUUUUUAAAAUUAAAUUAAUUUAUUAUAUAAAUAUAUACAUAUUGCCCGUCACUUUUAUAUAUAAAAUAAGUCGUAACAAAGUAAAUUAAUUGGAAAAUUU
rnacentral:rRNA from 1 species